GACGUAGGGUGCAAGCGUUGUCCGGAUUUACUGGGCGUAAAGAGCGCGUAGGCGGUCUUGUAAGUGUGAAGUGAAAUCUCCAGGGCUCAACCCGGAAACUGCUUUGCAUACUGCGAGACUUGAGGGAUGCAGAGGUUUGUGGAAUUCCUGGUGUAGCGGUGAAAUGCGUUGAUAUCAUCUGGAAUACCGGAGGCGAAGGCGGCUCACUGGGGGUUUUCUGACGCUGAGGAACGAAAGCCAGGGUAGCGAACGGG
rnacentral:rRNA from 1 species